rnacentral:rRNA from 1 species
CCUACGGGAGGCAGCAGUGGGGAAUAUUGGGCAAUGGGCGCAAGCCUGACCCAGCGACGCCGCGUGAAGGAAGAAGGCUUUCGGGUUGUAAAGUUCUAUUAGGAGGGAAGAGAAGAAGACGGUAACCCUUGAAUAAACCACGGCUAAAUACGUGCCCGCAGCCGGGGUAAUACGUAGGUGGCAAGCGUUGGUCGGAUUUACGGGGUGGAAAGGGCGGGCAGCCGGGAAGACAAGUCAGAUGUGAAAUCCCGCGGAUCAACCGCUGAACUGCAUUUGAAACUGUUUUUCUUGAGUACCGGAGAGGUCAGCGGAAUUCCUUGUGUAGCGGUGAAAUGCGUAGAUAUAAGGAAGAACACCAGUGGCGAAGGCGGAUGACUGGACGGCAACUGACGGUGAGGCGCGAAAGCGUGGGGAGCAAACAGGAUUAGAUACCCCAGUAGUC